rnacentral:rRNA from 1 species
UGCAGAAGCAGGGAUAACCCCACAAGACGAGAAGACCCUAUGGAGCUUUAGGCCCGCUAUUACCCACUUCCAGCUCUACGGCUACGAACCCUUUAAGCUUUAGUGACGCUUGUCGCCGGCCUUUGGUUGGGGUGACCGUGGGGUACACAAAGCCCCCAUGAUGACCCGGGCAACCUGCCCGCAAGCUGAGAGGCACGCCUCCGAGCAUCGAGACACUUGACAAUCAGAUCCGGCGUAUCCGCCGAUCCACGGACCGAGUUACCCUAGGGAUAACAGCGCAAUCCUCUCCUAGAGCCCCUAUCGACGAGAGGGUUUACGACCUCGAUGUUGGAUCAGGACAUCCUAAUGGUGCAGCCGCUAUUAAGGGUUCGUUUGUUCAACGAUUAAAGUCCU